GACGAACGCUGGCGGCGUGCCUAAUACAUGCAAGUAGAACGCUGAAGAGAGGAGCUUGCUCUUCUUGGAUGAGUUGCGAACGGGUGAGUAACGCGUAGGUAACCUGCCUUGUAGCGGGGGAUAACUGUUGGAAACGAUAGCUAAUACCGCAUAACAAUGGAUGACACAUGUCUUUUAUUUGAAAGGGGCAAUUGCUCCACUACAAGAUGGACCUGCGUUGUAUUAGCUAGUAGGUGAGGUAACGGCUCACCUAGGCGACGAUACAUAGCCGACCUGAGAGGGUGAUCGGCCACACUGGGACUGAGACACGGCCCAGACUCCUACGGGAGGCAGCAGUAGGGAAUCUUCGGCAAUGGGGGCAACCCUGACCGAGCAACGCCGCGUGAGUGAAGAAGGUUUUCGGAUCGUAAAGCUCUGAUGUAAGUCAAGAACGAGUGUGAGAGUGGAAAAUUCACACUGUGACGGUAGCUUACCAGAAAGGGACGGCUAACUACGUGC
rnacentral:rRNA from 1 species